rnacentral:ncRNA from 1 species
GGGAGUACGGAGUACCCUCGGUAAAACGAGGGCCUUGAUGCGGCUGGCCGGACGCUUCUUGCAUGGCCGGGGAUAGCGAUAGGAGGUGAACGAAAGACCUUCCGUUCGUUGGAAACGUUCACCGAGUACCCGGUUUCAUGGCCAUUGCCGCUAUGGAGUUUACAACGCGCUCCAACAAUAACGCUCUACGAGGUGUCUAUCCCAUUAUGACAAGCG